rnacentral:rRNA from 1 species
UACGGAGGGUGCAAGCGUUAAUCGGAAUUACUGGGCGUAAAGCGCGCGUAGGCGGUUAUUUAAGUUAGAUGUGAAAGCCCCGGGCUUAACCUGGGAAUUGCAUUUAGAACUGGAUGGCUAGAGUAUUGAAGAGGAGGGUGGAAUUUCAGGUGUAGCGGUGAAAUGCGUAGAGAUGUGAAGGAACACCAGUGGCGAAGGCGACUCUCUGGUCAUAUACUGACGCUGAGGUGCGAAAGCGUGGGGAGCAAACAGG